rnacentral:rRNA from 1 species
AAUGCCGGAUGCUCCGACUCCUCGCAUGGGGUGUCGGGAAAGAUUCAUCGGUAUGGGAUGGGGUCGCGUCCUAUCAGGUAGUCGGCGGGGUAACGGCCCACCGAGCCUACGACGGGUAGCCGGCCUGAGAGGGCGACCGGCCACAUUGGGACUGAGAUACGGCCCAGACUCCUACGGGAGGCAGCAGUGGGGAAUAUUGCACAAUGGGCGCAAGCCUGAUGCAGCGACGCCGCGUGCGGGAUGACGGCCUUCGGGUUGUAAACCGCUUUUGAUCGGGAGCAAGCCUUCGGGUGAGUGUACCUUUCGAAUAAGCACCGGCUAACUACGUGCCAGCAGCCGCGGUAAUACGUAGGGUGCAAGCGUUAUCCGGAAUUAUUGGGCGUAAAGGGCUCGUAGGCGGUUCGUCGCGUCCGGUGUGAAAGUCCAUCGCUUAACGGUGGAUCUGCGCCGGGUACGGGCGGGCUGGAGUGCGGUAGGGGAGACUGGAAUUCCCGGUGUAACGGUGGAAUGUGUAGAUAU